GGAGAGCUCAGUGGUAGAGGGCAUGCCUAGCAUGCACAAGGUCCUGGGUUCAAUCCCCAGUAUCUCCA
rnacentral:tRNA from 1 species